CACGUGAGUAACCUGCCCUUGACUCUGGGAUAAGCCUGGGAAACUGGGUCUAAUACCGGAUAUGACCUUCCAUCGCAUGGUGGUUGGUGGAAAGCUUUUGUGGUUUUGGAUGGACUCGCGGCCUAUCAGCUUGUUGGUGGGGUAAUGGCCUACCAAGGCGACGACGGGUAGCCGGCCUGAGAGGGUGACCGGCCACACUGGGACUGAGACACGGCCCACACUCCUACGGGAGGCAGCAGUGGGGAAUAUUGCACAAUGGGCGCAAGCCUGAUGCACCGACGCCGCGUGAGGGAUGACGGCCUUCGGGUUGUAAACCUCUUUCACUAAGGAAUAAGCGUAAGUGACGGUACCUGCACAAGAAGCGCCGGCUAACUACGUGCCAGCAGCCGCGGUAAUACCUAGGGCGCAAGCGUUAUCCGGAAUUAUUGGGCGUAAAGAGCUCGUAGGCGGUUUGUCGCGUCUGCCGUGAAAGUCCGGGGCUCAACUCCGGAUCUGCGGUGGGUACGGGCAGACUAUAGUGAUGUAGGGGAGACUGGAAUUCCUGGUGUAGCGGUGAAAUGCGCAGAUAUCAAGAGGAACACCGAUGGCGAAGGCAGGUCUCUGGGCAUUAACUGACGCUGAGGAGCGAAAGCAUGUGGAGCGAACAGGAUUAUAUACCCUGGUAGUCCAUGCCGUAAACGUUGGGCACUACGUGUGGGGGGACAUUCCACGUUUUCCGCG
rnacentral:rRNA from 1 species